AAAUCUUAUUUUAAAAUUAAACUGCAAAUUUAAUACAGAAAUUUAUUUCUAAGAUUU
rnacentral:tRNA from 1 species